rnacentral:rRNA from 1 species
UACGGAGGGGGCUAGCUUUGUUCGGAAUUACUGGGCGUAAAGCGCACGUAGGCGGAUCAGUCAGUUAGGGGUGAAAUCCCAGGGCUCAACCCUGGAACUGCCUUUAAGACUGCAUCGCUUGAAUCCAGGAGAGGUGAGUGGAAUUCCGAGUGUAGAGUUGAAAUUCGUAGAUAUUCGGAAGAACACCAGUGGCGAAGGCGGCUCACUGGACUGGUAUUGACGCUGAGGUGCGAAAGCGUGGGGAGCAAACAGG